rnacentral:lncRNA from 13 species
AUGGGGCUGACCCGCCGCCCCCAGCCGAGCCCCUGGGCCGUGGCUCUGUCGCCCGGACCCUCCGCGCUGUCCCCUGGCCCCGCAGGGCUCCGCACCCCCGAAACUUUCCGUGGGCAGCGGCUCCUCGGAGCGCGGGGAGCCCGCCUGGCACCGGGGCAGGGAGAAGGGGCCGGACCGGCUGCCGGGACCCCCGGGCCCCCCGAGAUGCACCCCGGGCCCCCCCGCGGCACCUGCUCGCCCUGGGCCGGGCUCCGCUUCCUCAUCGCUCCGCGGGGCGCAGCGCGGCGCCGCUGCCAGAACUGGCACAAAGCCCAGGAGGAGGAAGCUGCAAAAUGUAGAGAAAUGGAAUCGUGACUCACGUCAGGACAACGGCCUCGUUCUCAUUCAUUUGUGGAAGAGAUUAAAGGGGCCCAGGAAUAAAGAUUUCCUAUUCCUGAACAAAAGCUGCUACUCACUGGACAAAACCUCAGCAACAAGGUCCUCGCAGUUCUGAUCCCUGCCCAGAGUGUGGAAGUGGGAUGUGGAGAACGGAGCCUUUGCCUGGACAAUCCAUGAGCACAGUUGUGUUUUUCCAGUGAUGUAGAUGAGACCUAUUGCUCACCAACUGCUGAAUAAAAUGCUUUGUGGAUAUUUUUUUUUUUACUUUCUGUCAAGGUCAACUGACAAAAAUUCCACAAAAUUUCCACUGCAAAAACCCUACGCUGAUAGAACACAAAAGUUAAAAUCAAGGAUUGUAAAGAAAUGGUUUGUGUGUGUUUUUAGCUGAGAAUCCAACCCGUUUGGAUUGUAAUAACAACAAACAUUUACAGAAUUAUUGUAGCUACCCUUGAAACCGAGCAGUCACAGUUCUGAACAUAACCAGCUACAUCAGAAUUACCAGGGACCCCCUCCCAAACUGUGCAGACACCUGAGCAGGAUGAUUGCCUUGGGCUUCAUUUGGCUUUCAUGAGGGAAGAAGAAAUGGCCCAGAUCUCCUCAGACAGGGACAAACAGUGGUCUUGGCUAAUGCUGUCAUUUGUAUUCUCCCAUUUUUUGCGCCCACGGAGUUGAUUUUAUUACAAUAGCCUGCAUUAAAAUCCACAUAAACCCCCCCCCCAAACAAUAGAUGGGGUUUUGCUGAAGUAGGUGGUGCUACCUGUGUUCCUUCACCAAUUUAAUGUGGCUGGUGGCUUGCAGAGUGUUCAAUAGGUCACCUGCAUCAGCAAUUUCAGUCCAGACAAUUUGCCUCUAAAUACUACAAGCUAUGAUAUACAUUUUCCAAUUACAUCUCAGACUGCUUUUAAAUUCCACCAGACAGACAAAGUUAUAGAAGUCUAGAGGGCUUAGGGAAAAACAGCAUACAAAUAACUCCAUAUUAAAG